UACGGGGGGGAGCAAGCGUUGUUCGGAAUUAUUGGGCGUAAAGAGCUCGUAGGCGGCUUGUCACGUCGGGUGUGAAAGCCCGGGGCUUAACCCCGGGUCUGCAUUCGAUACGGGCUGGCUAGAGUGUGGUAGGGGAGAUCGAAUUCCUGGUGUAGCGGUGAAAUGCGCAGAUAUCAGGAGGAACACCGGUGGCGAAGGCGGAUCUCUGGGCCAUUACUGACGCUGAGGAGCGAAAGCGUGGGGAGCGAACAGG
rnacentral:rRNA from 1 species